UACGAAGGGGGCUAGCGUUGUUCGGAAUUACUGGGCGUAAGGCGCACGUAGGCGGAUACUUAAGUUAGGGGUGAAAUCCCGGGGCUCAACCCCGGAACUGCCUUUAAUACUGGGUAUCUCGAGUUCGAGAGAGGUGAGUGGAAUUCCGAGUGUAGAGGUGAAAUUCGUAGAUAUUCGGAGGAACACCAGUGGCGAAGGCGGCUCACUGGCUCGAUACUGACGCUGAGGUGCGAAAGCGUGGGGAGCAAACAGG
rnacentral:rRNA from 1 species